GUGGUAUCACAGCCGAGGUCUGAAGGACAGACAGGGAGAAAGAUGUGUCCGUGUGGGCCUGGGGUAUGAUGAGGAAUGGACACUGGAAUCCACAAUGUAAAGUAGAUAAUAAAAAAGAAUUGUGGGAUUAACUCUCUUCCUAAAGGAAUGAGAACAGCAAACCUGUCGUAGUCGUGGAAGUUAUGUUUUCAAACAAUCUUUAAUUUGAUGGGAUUAAAUAGAAAGAAAAUGGAAUUGUGAAAUUUGCAGGAAAGUGGAUAUUCCUCAAAAGUAUAAGCUAAAAGAAUUCAAACUCAGACAGAAAGCCCUGCACAUCCCCUUGGAUGCGAGUUCCAGUGUGAUGGAUACAUGUUCACGCGGGUCCUGCAGGUGAUGAGAAGGGGAGAACAGAGGCAAAGGGACAUGCAGGUCAAGGCAGAUCAGAAAGACUGGUCUGGUGAGAGUAAACUUGGACUUGACCAUGGCUGCUGUUAUUUGGGACUGUUGCCACAUCCACAGAAAUGCAUGGACCAUGAAAGAGUCUGGGUGGUGACACCAGCAGGUCACUAAGAGUGUCACCAGAUUGGAGGAACUAGAAGUGGGAAGCUGUGCCUUCAUUCUUCUUGGUCAAAGACCAAAGCAUUCGUGAAGUUGAGGGUGAAUGAAAGAGAAGUAAAAAGGAAAAGAAAGACAUGACGGCUAUACGUACGCUGGAGGAGAAAGUUUGUCAUAGAUAUGUAUACCCAGAGGCAGACACACCAGGGAAGGAAAGGGAGAGAGAAGAGAGGGGAACCAGCUGCAGCAGCCAGAGACCGAAGAUACAAAAAGCAUGCGUAACCAAAAGGGUCUUCCAUCAACUUCUGGAGGGGAGCCAGGAACAACGGCAAGAGCUCGUAAUGGGGACUUUAUGAUAUUCCUCUGACCAACAACUUCAAACCACGGCCUCAUUCCUGGCACUUUGACUACCUCUGCUGUCCCAGAGGACAUCGAAAUUCUUUUUUAUACAUGUUUAUGUUUUAUGAAGUUUCCACAGUAGCAUGAUUCCACAUAUUUUCCCCAAAGGUCUCUAGUGUUAGCUAUCCUUCCAUAUACUCCCAAAGGUGGGUAUUUUAAAUAAAAAAAUUUAAGGACCUGCCCCUAGAGGCAA